GUUUUGGAGUGCAGGCGUGAAUAGUCCUUUCUGUCCUGCUUUGAGUACUGCUGUUGGGUGCCUUGGGGGGACCUUAAGGGAGCUCGGAAGUUGAGACGUGGUGAGUGCGAGAUCACUGCCCACAAAGGGGAGGAGCAGGCGGAUGAACAGCCAGAGCUGCAAUGGUGGAUCCUCCUCCAGGGCUGCAUGGGACGACAGAUAGAUGAGGCUCUAGGACGGGCACAAAUGCUACCCGAAUGCAAACCACUCCGGAGAUCUGUAAAAGGACUGGCCCCGGACAGGAAGCACACUUUAAACUAGAGGCGGGAGUCAAAGCCCCGGUGAAGAUUCUGUGACGGUUCAUUGUAUAAUUUAUGAUGAUGAAGAUUGAGUUGCAUUUUGCGGAAAAGAGAUGUUGAGAUAUCUAAGGCAUUGAGAAAUCUGUCAUGCAGACAUGCACACAGGGAGAGGGAGUACCCAAACUGAUGAGAACUUACAGGAAUUGGACCAUCUAAGCCCUUAGAAAGUGAAGUCCACUGUGUCUCAAACAAAGGAUGGCAAGUGUUCAUGACAUCAAUACUACCCAAGGCUUCAGAGUCAUUGGAUUGCAGGAUGCAGUGACUUAUGAUGAUGUGCGUGUGAACUUCACUGAGGAAGAGUGGGAUUUGCUGGAUCCUUCCCAGAAAAGUCUCUAUGAAGAGGUGAUGCUAGAGACAUACCAGAACAUCACUGCUAUAGGUAAGACUGAAUUUCCUCUUGCUUUUCUGAAUAAGGGACAAAUAUUUCUUUGUUAUUGAUCCUCUGUUGUUUCAAUUGAAGAGGAGGAAGAAUGAGCUUUCCUCUAUGUUUUAAAUUCAGAACUAUUCCAUCCAUCUUUUGGCAGAAUCAGAGCGCUCGGUGAAGAUUCUGUGAGGGUUCAUUGUAUAAUUUAUGAUGAUGAAGAUUGAGUUGCAUUUUGGGGAAAAGAGAUGUUGAGAUAUCUAAGGCAUUGAGAAAUCUGUCAGGCAGAGAUGCACACAGGGAGAGGGAGUACCCAAACUGAUGAGAAGUUACAGGAAUUGGACCAUCUAAGACCUUAGAAAGUGAAGUCCAAAGUGUCUCAAACAAAGAUCUUCAUCCACAUCUUGAAGUUUGAAGUUUGGCCAAGAAUAUACAGAGUAGAUUCUCUUUCUCAGGAUGGCAUGUGUUCAUGACAUCAAUACUACCCAAGGCUUCAGAGUCAUUGGAUUGCAGGAUUAUGCUUUGUGUUGUCCAAAUCUAUGGGAUAUUUUAGGAUGCAGUGACUUAUGAUGAUGUGCGUGUGAACUUCACUGAGGAAGAGUGGGAUUUGCUGGAUCCUUCCCAGAAAAGUCUUUAUGAAGAGGUGAUGCUGGAGACCUACCAGAACAUCACUGCUAUAGG
rnacentral:lncRNA from 1 species